rnacentral:lncRNA from 1 species
CCCAAUGCAGCCCCCCCCCACAGCCCCAUGGCCACGCUGCACUUGGGGGGGGGCUCUGAGAAGGAGAUUGAUGACGUCAUCGAUGAGAUCAUCAGCCUGGAGUCCAGUUACGACGAGCUGCUCAGCUUCGGCCCCACUGACAGCCCCACGCUGCCCAGCACGGUACGAAAACAGGCGCUGCCCCUUUAAGAACAGGGGGUGGGCGUGGUCUAUGGUGGGCGUGGCCUAUGGGGGGUGGGCGUGGCCUAUAGGCUGCACAGCAUGGUAUAAAAUGAGGCGCUGCCCCUUUAAGACCCGGGGGUGGGCGUGGCUUCGUAGUGGGGGCGUGGUCUAUGGGGUGGGCGUGGCCUAUGGGCUGCCCGGCACAUUAAAGAGGUGCUGGCCCUUUAAGACCCGGGGGCGUGGCUUCGUGUUUGGGGGCGUGGCCUAUGGGAGAUGGGCGUGGCUUUCCGUGUUUGGGGGCGUGGUCUAUGGGAGGUGGGCGUGGCUUUCCGUGUUUGGGGGCGUGGUCUAUGGAGGGCGUGGCCUGUUGGUAAGCGUGGUCUGCGGGGUGGGCGUGGCCUAUGGAUUGCCUAUGUUCUAUGGGGGUGGGCGUGGCCUAUUUAACUCACUGGCCCCGCCCCCCUCGCCCCCCCCCCUUAAUGUAGAUGCCGGCCCCCGCCCCCCUCCUGGAGCUGUUCAGCCCCCCCCCAACCAGCAGCAGCUCCUGCCCCGCCGAGCUGCCCUGCGUCAAGGCUGAGCUCACAGGUAAUUAAUGGGGAGGGGGCUCUAUAGGGGGGGCUCUGUGGGGCAGGUAUGGGGGGGUCUCUAUGGGGGGGGGUCUGUAUGGGGCAGGUAUGGGUGGGUCUCUGUGGGGCAGGUGGGGGGGGGGGUCUCUAUCGGGGGGGUCUCUAUCGGGGGGGUCUCUAUGGGGCAGGUAUGGGGGGGGUCAUCAGUGGGGCAGGUAUGUUUUGAGAGGGGUCCUUCUAUCGGGGGGUCUCCUAGCGGGGGUCUUUUUUCAGUGGGGCAGGUAUGGGAGGGUUUCUAUGGGGGGGCUUCUCUAUGGGGCAG